UUUUAGGUAAUACAAGAGCUUGAUUGCAGUAUAUUCCGGGAAAUCCUUCUGGACUGGGAAGUGAUAAAAUGGAGACAAAUCUCAGAUUCUUCUGAGGCUCAAAGAGAAACACUGACUUUCUCCACACUGCACGAGGGUAAUGAGGCUGGUGUAGUCUUUGGAUCCAGUCAUCUCCAGUACCCAGGCAAGGAGUCCAUGUCAUGAAAUGACCUACACCUCUGGAGACAGAUCUGCUUUGGUGGGAGGCCCUACUGUUUCUCAGCGUUUUAACCUUGGGGAAAUUACUGAGUCUGUCUUCUGUUUCAAUUCCUUAUCUGAAAUAUGGGGAUGAUGGUAAUAAAGAGGU